GAUGAACGCUGGCGGCGUGCCUAAUACAUGCAAGUCGAGCGAACGGACGAGAAGCUUGCUUCUCUGAUGUUAGCGGCGGACGGGUGAGUAACACGUGGAUAACCUACCUAUAAGACUGGGAUAACUUCGGGAAGCCGGAGCUAAUACCGGAUAAUAUUUUGAACCGCAUGGUUCAAAAGUAAAAGACGGUCUUUCUGUAACUUAUAGAUGGAUCCGCGCUGCAUUAGCUAGUUGGUAAGGUAACGGCUUACCAAGGCAACGAUGCAUAGCCGACCUGAGAGGGUGAUCGGCCACACUGGAACUGAGACACGGUCCAGACUCCUACGGGAGGCAGCAGUAGGGAAUCUUCCGCAAUGGGCGAAAGCCUGACGGAGCAACGCCGCGUGAGUGAUGAAGGUCUUCGGAUCGUAAAACUCUGUUAUUAGGGAAGAACAUAUGUGUAAGUAACUGUGCACAUCUUGACGGUACCUAAUCAGAAAGCCACGGCUAACUACGUG
rnacentral:rRNA from 1 species